CUAGAAAUGCAGCAGGAUGCUGAGUAUUAAACUGUUUUGGUUUUGUUUGCAGCUUGGAAAAACGUAAGAACAGCACACUCCUACUCUGUUAUUCUACAACAACAAUUAGUGAUGGGGCGAGUCCAGCUCCUACUUAUACAGCCCCCGGAAAUCCCCAGCCACUUCCCGAGCACCUUACAAAUGUCCACACCGCUGUACGCCCGGUUGCCGGGGCUGAUCCCCAGGGGCAUUGCGGUCACCCCGGAGAGAGGAUGCUGCAGGAGGGAGAGGGGUUUGCAAGCAGCUACCGCUACGUGUCUGGGCGGCCGUUACCUUCCCCUUUGCGCUCCAAGAACACAGUAUUUCCCAGCAGAGGGUAACAGGGGCUGACCCCCGGAAUCGGCUUCAGCGCCUUCCACUUCCCCAGGGCUAACAGAUGGUUCCAUGGCUCUCAGCACCCCACCCUCUACAAAUUGCUCCAGCAACCCUGGAGAAUGAAACGCUGCUGUGAUCUGUGGCUGCCCUUUUUCUCGCUGUGUAACCGGGGAUCUGCAGGAGGAUUAGACUAAGCAGCCUAGGAUCUGAACUUGGAGGGUCAGGGUCCAAGGCAGAACUCCCAGCCUUGUGGGCAACAUGGAGAAUAGGUUCAGGACACAGGCAAUAUUACAGAGGGGAGGAGAGAUAAACCACAACAACCAAGAAGAAUCAGGACAAGUAUGAAAAGCUGGGAUACACAUUCUAGAAGGAACAACACACAACCACACUGAAUUGGAUCCAUGGGCAUGGAGAAGACUACCCCAGCCAUCUGUCACACAGAGCCACCAGCAUGGCCAACAAACACUGGCUGUAACCAAACAAAUGCAUCACCUGUAGACUCCACUGCAUACCCCACAUAGCCCAGACAUACACAUGUAAAGAGCUGUACAUAUGAAGUGCUACUGUUACCAAUAAGCUCAGUCCCACAACUGUGACUGCCCAGGGCCUUGUUACAGAACUGGCUGAAUCAAGAGGACUAUAGUGAUGGUGCACAGGAAGAGAGACUGAGCAGGUUGCCACUGUUACUGGCCAAAUUCUCUGGUGGUGAAAUGUGGUGCUGUGACACUUUACACCAAUGAAGACUUUGGCCAGAUACCUGUACCAAAUGAGUCACUGACCCCAGCUCGGUUUCUCUGGAUCCAGCAUCCAUUGUUCAAUGCCUAGUCAUAACUCAUGGAUCCACACAGCCAAAGGAGCCACAGCAAGCAGAGACAAGCGUAGGUACAGGAGCCAAAUAGGGCAAGGGGUAGCCAUGCAUUGCCUGAGCACCUCCACGUACACCAGCACACAUCUGUGUGUAUGAGUAUUAACUGUAUUACAGCAGUGCCUACACACCCCAGGCGAGAGUGGGCCCAGUGUGCUAGGCCCUGUGCAAACAGACCUAGUAGCACAACCCUCUAUAAGAGGCAGACUGCCUGUCUGGAACAGCUGGGAGUGAAAUCACAGGGACUGGGGAAGAAGGCUCUGGUGACUGAAGGCAGCUUAUGUGAGAAAGGAGCAGUCAGUCAGUUGGGAGAUGUUGGAUCAGACUGGGAAGAGCAGGUGUGAACUGCUGCCACAUAACUCACUUGUGCUGCUGCCUUUGCUGCCUGAGGAGGUUUCAGAGCUGUCUGCCACUGCACCAUCUGGGAGGCUGGGGAGUGUUUGUUGCUCCUGAUUCCCCAUAGGGUUUGCCAAGUCAGACUCCUGUGAGACACCAGUGUAAAGUCAGACAACUCAGACAGAGAGAGGAAAGAAAUCUUCCUGAAUGAAAUAAUGCAGCCAUAUCCUUUAGGUGUGUAGCAACUAUUGCUUAUUUACAAGAAGAUGGGAAAAGCUAGGCAGCUUGCUGCCAGCUCAGCCAAGUCAACUGUUCCAACCUUUCAUCUUCCAGUCACCACAUGCACUUCCCCUGCACGUCCGCUUGAACCACAUUAUGCCAAAAUCAUCCCUUGUGUAACUCCACAGACACCUUUGCAGUUAAACCUAUGAAUUUGGCCCCUUAACUUUUAUUGUUGUCACUUGGUACCUGUAGACAUUCCUCUGAGUUGUGGGGCUAGAUUCACAGACUUAGGUGCCUAAAUGCCAUGGAGGGUAUUUCUACACGGCAAUGACAAACCUGCAAUUGGUCCAGGCCAUCUGACUUGGGGAACUCGGGAUUGUGCAGCGGCAAUGGAUUCUUCCUAAAAGGGGGGGGGAUCAAUCCCUACCUCUUCACUUCCCCCAGAUGCCUGACCCAAGCCAGAAGCUGAAGCCACGACAGGGAACCUGGGCUCCUCCACUUGACUGGGGUGCGGGUACACAAGAGCAGUCCCCACCCUGUGUCCCUGGUC